UUUUUUGUACACACUUUACUAUAUUUUAUACAAUCUUUAUUUUCACCGUCUCCUUAUAGGUACCAUACUUGUCUUUCCAUCUGAAAACUGACAGAAGUUCGUUUUUUGACACUUUGGUCAAAAUUAUAUAUUUUUUUGCUUUAGUGUAACUGUAAAAGUGGAAUAUAUACCCAAAUUUGUUAUCUAUGGCAAUUCCAUUACUUCUUGAGCCUCAUCGCAUAAAGGGAACAAACAUCUAAUUAGGUCUUUCCUGAUUGAAAAUUAACUUUUUAUAAGAAGAAACCUUUAUCAAAAUAAAGAAAAA